CAGAGACUGGCCUGCCCAUUUUGUGAAUCUAACACCUGAUAUAAAAUUUCUAAUUACAGACACCAAUUUCUCCCUCCUAGGAGAUCUGAAAAUGCAAGCUCCACUCUUUGUUAGGACCUUUUAUUUUCAUUGGAAAGCCCCUGCCAAACGUUGGCCACAUUUCACUCUGUCUGAUCCAUGCUUUUUUAUCUCUUCUCAACCAGACAAACGCAUAAUGCUUCAUUUGCUGGAUGACCAGGCAAUCCAUUUCCAAGAUCGACUUGUACACAAUGCUCCUGCUGGGCCAAUGUGCUGUGCACAGCGCUCCAAAGUCUCCAGGGGGUGAUGCUGAAUGGCAAGAAACCACUUCUGAGGCAAAACAGCACAAAUCCUGAGGUGGUUACUCUUGGAAGCUGUGGCAAAAGAACCUGGAAGAGCAGCUACCUCCUGGUGAAGAGCUGCUGAUUCAGCUUCUGUUGAGAAGGUAUACACAACUUGGCUGUGGAAUGGAAAAGAAUUCCAAUUUUUCUUUACCAAGAUGGUCAUGACAUAAAAGAAGUGCAUUAAUAAAGAUUCUUUGAUGACCUGGGAAAAUGCAUAUGACGCAGCACUUUCAUGGAGCUUCCGUACAAGAGGAAGACAGGCCAUCA